AAGACUAUAGACCUGCGGAGUACCUGCGGAGGGAUCAUUACCGAGUUUACAACUCCCAAACCCAAUGUGAACGUUACCAAACUGUUGCCUCGGCGGGAUCUCUGCCCCGGGUGCGUCGCAGCCCCGGACCAAGGCGCCCGCCGGAGGACCAACCUAAAACUCUUUUGUAUACCCCCUCGCGGGUUUUUUAUAUCUGAGCCAUCUCGGCGCCUCUCGUAGGCGUUUCGAAAAUGAAUCAAA
rnacentral:misc_RNA from 1 species